GAUGAACGCUGGCGGCGUGCCUAAUACAUGCAAGUCGAGCGAACAGACGAGGGGCUUGCUCCUCUGACGUUAGCGGCGGACGGGUGAGUAACACGUGGAUAACCUACCUAUAAGACUGGGAUAACUUCGGGAAACCGGAGCUAAUACCGGAUAAUAUAUUGAACCGCAUGGUUCAAUAGUGAAAGACGGUUUUGCUGUCACUUAUAGAUGGAUCCGCGCCGCAUUAGCUAGUUGGUAAGGUAACGGCUUACCAAGGCGACGAUGCGUAGCCGACCUGAGAGGGUGAUCGGCCACACUGGAACUGAGACACGGUCCAGACUCCUACGGGAGGCAGCAGUAGGGAAUCUUCCGCAAUGGGCAAAAGCCUGACGGAGCAACGCCGCGUGAGUGAUGAAGGUCUUCGGAUCGUAAAACUCUGUUAUUAGGGAAGAACAAAUGUGUAAGUAACUAUGCACGUCUUGACGGUACCUAAUCAGAAAGCCACGGCUAACUACGUG
rnacentral:rRNA from 1 species